rnacentral:rRNA from 1 species
GAUGAACGCUGGCGGCGUGCUUAACACAUGCAGGUCGAACGAGAAGUGGAGACGGAAACCUUCGGGCGGAAGACUUUAUUUCGAGUGGCGGACGGGUGAGUAACGCGUGGGUAACCUGCCUCAUACAGGGGGAUAACAGUUGGAAACGACUGUUAAUACCGCAUAAGACCACAGCACCGCAUGGUGCGGGGGUAAAAACUCCGGUGGUAUGAGAUGGACCCGCGUUCGAUUAGCCAGUUGGCGGGGUAACGGCCCACCAAAGCGACGAUCGAUAGCCGAUCUGAGAGGAUGACCGGCCACAUUGGGACUGAGACACGGCCCAAACUCCUACGGGAGGCAGCAGUGGGGAAUAUUGCACAAUGGGGAAACCCUGAUGCAGCGACGCCGCGUGAGUGAAGAAGUAUUUCGGUAUGUAAAGCUCUAUCAGCAGGGAAGAAAAUGACGGUACCUGAGUAAGAAGCCCCGGCUAACUACGUG